rnacentral:lncRNA from 1 species
UCUUAUGCUCUGUGAGUCUCUGUCAUAAUGUCCUACAUGUUACCCCUAUGUACAACGCAUUCUCAUUUUCUGAUAGGAACACCACCAGUAAUUCGUAUGCUCCCAGUCUUUCGCUGUUUCUUUCGGUCCUUCUCGUUCCUUACAAUAUUGAAAAGAGUGGGAGGCCUUGUUGUGAUUAUUCUUUUAUCUGACUUUGCUGCCAUUUUCUUCAAAGUUUUAGACUUACUAAGGGGCCUUGGUAAUGGUAAGAAGGAUGACGGCUGAGUCGCCUGGCAAUUAAGUUCUCGGUGUUCCUGCCGCACUUGUAGAGGAGAUCUCACCACAUUGUGC